rnacentral:rRNA from 1 species
UACAGAGACUGCAAGCGUUUAUUCGGAUUCACUGGGCGUAAAGGGUGCGCAGGCGGUUGGGUGUGUCAGAUGUGAAAUCCCGAGGCUUAACCUCGGAACUGCGUCUGAAACUACUCGACUAGAGUACUGGAGAGGGAAACGGAAUUCACGGUGUAGCAGUGAAAUGCGUAGAUAUCGUGAGGAACACCAGAGGCGAAGGCGGUUUCCGUGGACAGUUACUGACGCUCAGGCACGAAAGCAUGGGGAGCAAAAGGG